GUUCACACCGCGUGCGUGGCGCCCUGCUUGCUCUCCUUUACAGCAUCAACUUUUCCGAGUGUCAGUCACUAAUUUGUCCCUUGGAAGCGGCUGCUGGUCUUGGCUGAGCGGCUGUGGGUAGGAGGAAGUGGAUGCGUGAUUCAGUGAGUGUCUGCUUCCUCUCUGACUCAGGAUUGGAUCUGUUUCUGAGGGUGGUGCCAGGGGGCACAGUGUGGCUUUAGCUAGAUUCUUUGAACUUGGAGUCAAACCUGAGGCUCUGACCCCUUGUAGCCGCUGGCCCUCCCUUGACCCCUUUGGAUGAGUGAGGGGGCUCAGCUGGACCCUAUGACCUUGCUUCACAUUGGGAGAGGAAACGUGAGGUGGAGGAAAAUGAUCCCUGUGACGAUGUUGAAAACAGAGCCUGCUCAGCCUUAAUAAACCAGAGCUGCUGCGAGGCACCAGCGCUUCAGUUGGGUCAAACCAAAGUUUCCUGCUCUUCUCAUAAAGAUGGCGUCUUGCUCUGUCACCCAGGCUGGAGUGCAGUGGUGCGAUCUCGGCUCACUGCAACCUCUGCCCUUCUGGUUCAAGCAAUUCUCCCUGCCUCAGCCUGGAAACAUAGCCUGGCUCUGUGAAGGAAUACUGCUGUGACCGCAAAACUGUUUCUGUAGAAUUUUCUCCGGUGUGGUCAUCCUGCCUUCAGAGGUUUCUCCAGGACGUCACCUGUAUGAGGUACACAGUGUGAUGACACACUCUGUGCUUUUCCUACUUGUGUCCACGGCUCAAGCCUGGAAGAAGCCUUAGGACGUGGGGGAAAUGUCUAACGUGGAGUCCACCUGCUGAGCAGGACCGGGUGUGAAGGAAGAAGCUUUGUUCUGAUUCCUCAUGGCCCAGCCACCCCUCGCCUGAGCUGAGCCUGGCCACAGGGCCCGCCUGCAGGAAGGGCUGGCCCAUGGCUUCACACUGGGCUCAGGCUGCGCUAAGAGCCCCGGGUGAGGACCUCCAAGCCCAGGAAGCCUCAGUUGGCCAAAGUGCUAGAUGCGUGUGGUCUGCUUUCAUCCCCGCUUCCCUCAGAGCUUGCAUUUUCCAAAUUCAAGAGAGGCUCCACCUUCAAGAAGACCGGCCUGUCCCUGUUAUUUAUGUGUCCCCCUACCAUAUCUCCCUUUGUUCUGCAGAGCGGCCAUACCUGCCAGCAGCCUGCUCUCCCGGCCAUGCUGCGGUUCACAAAAGUCCAGCAUUUGGCUAGCUUCCUGGGGGAAUGAAUCUUUCAGAGCCAAACUAAUGCUAUGCAUGCAGCUUAUGAUUUUUUUUUUUUUGUCUUCAACAAAGUGAAUACUUACUUUUUUUUUGCUCUUUAAA
rnacentral:lncRNA from 1 species